AUACGGGGGGGGCAAGCGUUAUUCGGAAUUAUUGGGCGUAAAGGGUGUGUAGACGGUGUAUCAAGUCCACUGAUAAAUUUUUCGGCUUAACCGAAAGCCUGCGGUGGAAACUGGUGUACUAGAGGGUGAGAGAGAGAAGUGGAAUUCCCGGAGUAGCGGUAAAAUGCGUGGAUCUCGGGAGGAACACCGAUGGCGAAGGCAGCUUCUUGGCUCAUUCCAGACGUUGAGACACGAAAGCGUGGGGAGCAAACAGGAUUAGAUACCCCGGUAGUCC
rnacentral:rRNA from 1 species